rnacentral:lncRNA from 1 species
AGUGGCCGACAGAGGGCGCCGAGAUUCGGGAGCCGGGGUGGGGCGGCCCCGGGCCUCCGUCUGCUCCUCCCACCCCCGCCGCGGCACCCACGCCCACUCGGCGGCGGGGGCCGGGUCUUGGGAAAGUCCCAGGGCGCACCUCGUGCCGGAAAUUUUUCUCACGCACCUGGAGUCGCAGAAUGCCCGGGCUGCAAGUGAUGUCAGGGGGGGCCUAACCUGCCAAAGCUCACACUCUGGAGAAGAUCUCUCAGUGUGACCUGGCCACGUAGCUCGGAUGGCCUGUUUGUCAACGUAAAUGAAGGGUUAGCUCAUCAACAAGCCCUGCCCACUGCCCACAAAUACACUAUCCUGAGCCCUCUUCUGAAAUCAUCACUCUUUACAGGUAUUGCAUCCAAAGUAGGUUUCUCUCCCAUUACAGCAGACAUCAAACAAAAAAUACGCCUACUCAAUGUGAAGACGAUGAGAAUGAAGCCCUUUAUGAUGAUCCACUUCCACUUGAUGAGUAAUAAUCUUAGAAGACGGCUCAUCAUAAGCAAUUUCUUACGGACCCCAAAAUGUGCUAUUUUUGGCUCAGAUGUCUAAAGUGUCAAGGAGGUGAGGAGCUACCAGUUUCCUGUCUCCUGGCACCUGAUGGGCAAUUUUCCAGCCAUUAAAUGCCAAGCCCUCUGGAAAGUGGCUGACCAGCGCAUUGACAAUCCAGACUUCAGUUGUGGUAAUGCAGCACUUUGAAAUGUGAAUACAGUGAGCUCAAAUCCCUUGCAGUGGGAAACCCGUUCCCUUUUCCAGAAUCUACAGAUAUUCUGCUAGGAUAGUGC